rnacentral:rRNA from 1 species
CCUCAAUUUCUGCCCUAUCAACUUUCGAUGGUAGGAUAGUGGCCUACCAUGGUAUCAACGGGUAACGGGGAAUUAGGGUUCUAUUCCGGAGAGGGAGCCUGAGAAACGGCUACCACAUCCAAGGAAGGCAGCAGGCGCGCAAAUUACCCAAUCCCGACACGGGGAGGUAGUGACAAUAAAUACUGAUACAGGGCUCUUUUGGGUCUUGUAAUUGGAAUGAGUACAAUUUAAAUCCCUUAACGAGGAACAAUUGGAGGGCAAGUCUGGUGCCAGCAGCCGCGGUAAUUCCAGCUCCAAUAGCGUAUAUUAAAGUUGUUGCAGUUAAAAAGCUCGUAGUUGAACCUUGGGCCUGGCUGGCCGGUCCGCCUCACCGCGUGUACUGGUCCGGCCGGGCCUUUCCUUCUGGGGAGCCGCAUGCCCUUCACUGGGCGUGUCGGGGAACCAGGACUUUUACUUUGAAAAAAUUAGAAGUGUUCAAAAGCAGGCCUUUGCUCGAAUACAUUAGCAUGGAAUAAUAGAAUAGGACGUGCGGUCUAUUUUGUUGGUUUCUAGGACCGCCGUAAUGAUUAAUAGGGAUAGUCGGGGGCAUCAGUAUUCAAUUGUCAGAGGUGAAAUUCUUGGAUUUAUUGAAGACUAACUACUGCGAAAGCAUUUGCCAAGGAUGUUUCAUUAAUCAGUGAACGAAAGUUAGGGGAUCGAAGACGAUCAGAUACCGUCGAAUCUUAACCAUAAACUAUGCCGACUAAGGGAUCGGCGAUGUUUCAUUUUACUCCUCGCACCUUACAAGAAUCAAAGCUUUUGGGUA